UAACUUAACCUGGCAGGGGAGAUACUAUGAUCAUGAAGGUGUUUUUCCCAGGGAGCAGCUUAUCCAUUGCAUUCCGGAUGUGCUGACCCCUGCGAUUUUCCCAAAUGUGGGAAACUUGACUGCGUAAUCUGUGGAAGCGGGGGACUGUGUUCGUGCUCUCCCCUG